GAUGAACGCUAGCGGCAGGCCUAACACAUGCAAGUCGAGGGAGAAGCCCUUCGGGGCAGAAACCGGCGCACGGGUGCGUAACGCGUAUGCAACCUACCUUUCACAGGGGGAUAGCCCGAAGAAAUUUGGAUUAAUACCCCAUAAUAUUAUUGGAUGGCAUCAUUUGAUAAUUAAAAUUACGAUGGUGAAAGAUGGGCAUGCGUCCUAUUAGCUAGUUGGAGUGGUAACGGCACCCCAAGGCUACGAUAGGUAGGGGUCCUGAGAGGGAGAUCCCCCACACUGGUACUGAGACAGGGACCAGACUCCUACGGGAGGCAGCAGUGAGGAAUAUUGGUCAAUGGUCGGAAGACUGAACCAGCCAUGCCGCGUGCAGGAAGAAUGCCCUUAUGGGUUGUAAAACUGCUUUUAUAUGGGAAGAAUAAAGGAAGUACG
rnacentral:rRNA from 1 species